AACGAACGCUGGCGGCAUGCCUAACACAUGCAAGUCGAACGAGACCUUCGGGUCUAGUGGCGCCCGGGUGGGUAACGCGUGGGAACCUGCCCUUAGGUUCGGCAUAACUCCCCGAAAGGGGUGCUAAUACCGGGUAAUGUUUUCGGACCAAAGAUUUAUCGCCUUUGGAUGGGCCCGCGUUGGAUUAGCUAGUUGGUAGGGUAAAAGCCUACCAAGGCGACGAUCCAUAGCUGGUCUGAGAGGAUGAUCAGCCACACUGGGACUGAGACACGGCCCAGACGCCUACGGGAGGCAGCAGUUGGGAAUAUUGGACAAUGGGCGAAAGCCUGAUCCAGCAAUGCCGCGUGAGUGAUGAAGGCCUUAGGGUUGUAAAGCUCUUUUACCCGGGAUGAUAAUGACAGUACCGGGAGAAUAAGCUCCGGCUAACUCCGUG
rnacentral:rRNA from 1 species